rnacentral:SRP_RNA from 1 species
GCCGGGCGUGGUGGCGGGCGCCUGUAGUCCCAGCUACUCGGAGGCUGAGGCGGGAGAAUGGCGUGAACCCGGGAGGUGGAGCUUGCAGUGAGCCGAGAUCGCGCCACUGCACUCCAGCCUGGGCAACAGAGCGAGACUCCGUCUCAU